rnacentral:rRNA from 1 species
AUUGAACGCUGGCGGCAGGCCUAACACAUGCAAGUCGAGCGGAUGAAGGGAGCUUGCUCCUGGAUUCAGCGGCGGACGGGUGAGUAAUGCCUAGGAAUCUGCCUGGUAGUGGGGGAUAACGUCCGGAAACGGGCGCUAAUACCGCAUACGUCCUGAGGGAGAAAGUGGGGGAUCUUCGGACCUCACGCUAUCAGAUGAGCCUAGGUCGGAUUAGCUAGUUGGUGGGGUAAAGGCCUACCAAGGCGACGAUCCGUAACUGGUCUGUGAGGAUGAUCAGUCACACUGGAACUGAGACACGGUCCAGACUCCUACGGGAGGCAGCAGUGGGGAAUAUUGGACAAAGGGCGAAAGCCUGAUCCAGCCAUGCCGCGUGUGUGAAGAAGGUCUUCGGAUUUUAAAGCACUUUAAGUUGGGAGGAAGGGCAGUAAGUUAAUACCUUGCUGUUUUGACGUUACCAUCAGAAUAAGCACCGGCUAACUUCGUG